ensembl:lncRNA CD99P1 CD99 molecule pseudogene 1
GCGCUGCACUCGCGGACGAUCUCUGCUCGCCUUGGGCGCGCCGUGGCGCGCGGGGCCGUGCUGGCGCUGCGGCUCCUCGGCCUGCUCCGCCGUCUGGUGGCCGCCCCGGGCUGACUUUGACUUAGCGAUGCCUUUCCUGAUGGAGGAAACAGUGACCCAGCACCACCUAAUGCCCCCAAACCAAAGCCAGAUCCAAACCCCAACCGACCUGGUUUCACUGGUGACCCAGCACCACCUAAUCCCCCCAAACCAAAGCCAGAUCCAAAUCCCAACUGACCUGGUUUCACUGAUAAGAGCCUCUAACCCUACGGGGUGGUCUCUAUGUUGUUUACCUGGCAGUGAUGUCCGUGUCAUCUGAGAAGAGGAGAUUUCAGCAGAUGCCUUUCGUGAUGGAGGAAAUAACGACCCAGCACCUCUUAAUUCACCCAAGCUGAAGCCAAAUGCGAACCCUGAGCAGCCUGGAUUCAUUGACGAGCCAGCACCACUGAACCCACCCAAACCAAAGCCAAAUCCAAACCCCAAGCAGCCUGAUUCCACCGGGGAUGACUUUGAUUUCACAGAUGUUUCUUCAUGGUGAACGAAACAGGGAGUUGCCUCGAUUCUGAUGUGUUUGCUUCGGUGCUCUGUGUAUUGUAUUCAUCCCACUCUUCAAUUCAUAAACUCUGGAGAUUCUUCAAUUCACUGGGCAAACCAUAUGCCUAAGUCUAUCCUCUGAUGGAGGCUCGUACAUGCAAAAUCCAAUAGCAACCUGGGAAGAUUUCAGUCAAGACCCAAGAGGAGGCUGGCAUCAGGCUCUCGGUCACCGAUCUUCACAUUCAGGUUUCCUGAUGCACUUUGCGACUCUUUGGGCAACCUCUGGACUCCUUGUUCCCAGGGUCCACAUUUAGUUUUAUCUUUACUGCAUUGCUUUUAUGAAAAAGAAUAAAAUUGGAUGAAACAGA